rnacentral:misc_RNA from 1 species
GUGAAUCAUCGAAUUUUUGAACGCAAAUUGCACUCUCUUCGGAGAGUAUGCCUGUUUGAGGGUCAGCCUAAAAAAAAUCGACAUCGUUGCUGUUUCGCGGUGGCGUUCGUCGGAAAUUGGGUUAUCUUGAAUCUUUGGUUUAAGCGACUUAAAAUUUUCUUUACGAUUCAUUUACGUUUUCCAGGUUUAUUUUUUUUCCACGUUUAAGGUACCGUUUU